GACGGAGGGGGCAAGCGUUGUUCGGAAUUAUUGGGCGUAAAGGGCUCGUAGGCGGGCUGGCAGGUCCGGCGUGAAAUCUCCACCGCUCAACGGGGAGGGGUCGCCAGAAACCGCCAGCCUCCGAGGGAGGCAGAGGGCCGCGGAAUUCCGGGUGUAGCGGUGGAAUGCGUAGAGAUCCGGAAGAACACCAGUGGCGAAGGCGGCGGCCUGGGCCUUAUACCUGACGCUGAGGAGCGAAAGCCAGGGGAGC
rnacentral:rRNA from 1 species